GUUUCCCUCUUUACUGCGAGGGAACCUGAAGCUUAUAUAACCCGCAGCGCUACCAAGGCAGACAGGAGAGCCAUCCUGGACGCUAGCGUGGGCAACAUCUGCGGACUGGUUCCUUCGGCAGAUUACGACAGCGGUCUACUACUGGGAACGGCGAUUCAUGCCGGCCAAGAGGAAUUCAAACUCCUCGGCAGUGCCGUGAACGAACCCGCGGCACGGGACAGCAGAUGACUUCCACUCCGUGUGCUGUCGUAAUAGCUCGGCAGCACAUCCACAGUCCUCGGACACCCGCUGCGCAGGAACUUGACGAUAACGGCGCUUUCCAGCCACAGCAACCCUUGGUCAGAAGACUUCGACUUCGAGAGGCCAUCAGAGUCACCGACGACGUCGUCCAGCAUAGGGUGCUGGCCGCAUAUCCUGACUGUUUGUCCGAUGACAUUUUGCACUUGCCAGACGUUUUGAGAAGGUGGUAACAAGGUGUUAUCGCUCAAA